UGUGUGUGUGUUCUUCAGGAGACGGAGCUGUUGGACCUAACCUUUGUUAAAGAUGUCAGAACAGGGAGGAGCACCAAAACACCAAAGGAGGCCAAGCUGCGGGAGCUGCUGGAUAUCGGCAAUCUGGUUGGCCGACUGGAGAACCGCAUGGUCACCGUGGUUACAGCCUCGGACCUGGUGAACGUCAACCAGCUGAACUUCAUCGCCUCACAGGAGGACGAGGCAAAGAUGUGGUGUGAGGAACUGUUUUCUCUGUCUUCCAAUCUGCUGAGCCACAAUCUCAACAGGGACCACAGUCUGUUGAAAGCGUUCAUCAGGUUGACU